GUCUAUGGCCAUACCAGCCUGAAAGAGCUGAUCUUGUCUGAUCUCGGAAGCUAAGCAGGGUCAGCCCUGGUUAGUACUUGGAUGGGAGAAAUAGGAGCAUGGGUGGGAGAGUGAGAUGCUGCACUCC
rnacentral:rRNA from 1 species